GUCCCGCGGCUGCUGGCACGGAGUUAGCCGGGGCUUCUUCUGCGGGUACCGUCAUUAUCGUCCCCGCCGAAAGAGCUUUACAACCCGAAGGCCUUCUUCGCUCACGCGGAAUUGCUGGAUCAGGCUUGCGCCCAUUGUCCAAUAUUCCCCACUGCUGCCUCCCGUAGGAGUCUGGGCCGUGUCUCAGUCCCAGUGUGGCUGAUCAUCCUCUCAGACCAGCUAUGGAUCGUCGCCUUGGUAGGCCUUUACCCCACCAACUAGCUAAUCCAACGCGGGCUCAUCUCAGGGCGAUAAAUCUUUGGUCUCGCGACAUCAUACGGUAUUAGCUCAAGUUUCCCUGAGUUAUUCCGUACCCCAAGGCAGAUUCCCACGCGUUACUCACCCGUGCGCCACUAAGGCCGAAGCCUUCGUUCGACUUGCAUGUGUUAAGCAUUCCGCCAGCGUUCGUUCUGAGCCAGGAUCAAACUC
rnacentral:rRNA from 1 species